rnacentral:lncRNA from 1 species
CAUUUUCCUCACUGGAGGAAUGAACUAAGGAAAGUUACAACGUUGAACCAGAAGGUUCCAUGGCAGUUGGGAAGAGAAGAACAUAAGGGGCAGUGAAGCGAAGGGGGUGAGUACUGAAAAGGAGAGCGUGAACAGCAGAGAGAGCUGCUGCUGCCAAGAAAGGGGAACCAAGAGAGGCUAAAGGCACGGGCUAGAAGUAAAUACCAAGCUCGAGGAUGGCGCACUGGACCCGGGUCCCAGAGCAUGACAGACAUACAAUAAAUUGCUAUUGAACUGAUGUUAAUCCAAUCCAGAACCGGGCCAGGGAGCAUGUGUUUGGAAAGGGAAAAGUCUCUUCUUCCCCCAAACUGUAAUAGCAAUUUCAAAACAGCCUGAAAGGAACGUUUCCAAGAGUUUAUAAAAACCAAAUGACUCCAAGCAAGAAAAGGCUGAGUGUUUGCAGUUUUGGAGAAAAGAAAGUUAAUUUCUGCAGAGUCAAAAGCAUGCACUUGAAAAGAGGGAAAUUUUUACCAUAAAGAGGAUGUUCAGAAGAAAAAUGGGAAGAAUCUGGUAUAAGGAGUGUCGUGAUGUUGAAAAGCCCAGGCUCUGAGGGAGCUGGAGGAGGAAGACAAGGAACACAGCGGCCUGAAAAGGGAGGAAGAAGAAAGUGGAGGCAUCUGGCCAGCAGGUGUGCGCUCUGUGGGUUCACCCAGGUCCUGACACAGACAGCUAUCUGAGGGGCUGCAAGGGAGGAAAAGCAGGGGGCGAAGUCAGCAAGGCUGAAAGAGAAAAAAACCCGCCAAAGCCCACAGCACUCCAGACUCGGAUGGGAACUAAACCACUUCUCCAUCCUGCUGACCAUAAACUGUGUGACCUGUCAGCCUGCAGAAUCACAUGAGCCAAUGAACUCCUCAGCAAAAACCUUGAAUCUCAUUGGUUUUGUUUCUCCGGAGAUCCUGGAUGUAUCUGCUGCUAUGGGUUUUCUUCGGUUACUGCUAACCCUCAAAGCAAACAGUCUAAGAAGAGCUUUCUUUCUCAGAAAAGCUAUCCUUAGUAUCUCUUAGAAGGGCUCUGCGCUGAACAAUAACCAUGUAGUGAUCAUCCUCCCGGCAAGUAUCCAGGUCUCAUAAACAGGGUGGCUAGACGCUAUUCUGGGAAUGAACAAGAAGAUCUUCUGAACAGAGGAUCCCCAAGACUCCCACUGCAGCUCACUCAACACACUGGCCACAGAGCAGGACUGCUGAGACUCUGAGACCAACUUGACCGAUCGACCCAUGCAUCUCAAUCAAGCAAUCAAGAAUGAAUGCCCCAUAAACUAUUUAAUUUUAAUAAAGCCCUUUGAAGCUUGAAAGAUAAGAAGCUGCACUUUGGUAUGAAGAGCAUUGAUCAGAAGUUCUGUGAAUGUUUGAACCAGGCCAAAGGAACAACGGUGCAGAUGAGGGAGCUGGACGCGCUAAGAGAAUCAGCCGGUCCUGACAGCAUUUCUCCUUUAAAUCACAGGCCAGAAG